rnacentral:rRNA from 1 species
GAUGAACGCUGGCGGCGUGCCUAACACAUGCAAGUCGAGCGAUCUUCUUCGGAAGAGAGCGGCGGACGGGUGAGUAACGCGUGGGUAACCUGCCCUGUACACACGGAUAACAUACCGAAAGGUAUGCUAAUACGAGAUAAUAUGCUUUUAUCGCAUGGUAGAAGUAUCAAAGCUCCGGCGGUACAGGACGGACCCGCGUCUGAUUAGCUAGUUGGUAAGGUAACGGCUUACCAAGGCGACGAUCAGUAGCCGACCUGAGAGGGUGAUCGGCCACAUUGGAACUGAGACACGGUCCAAACUCCUACGGGAGGCAGCAGGGGGGAAUAUUGCACAAUGGGCGAAAGUCUGAUGCAGCAACGCCGCGUGAGCGAUGAAGGCCUUCGGGUCGUAAAGCUCUGUCCUCAAGGAAGAUAAUGACGGUACUUGAGGAGGAAGCCCCGGCUAACUACUGCCAGCCGCCGCCGUAA